AUAAUAAAAAGGCAAACCAUUCUAAAGAAUGGGACGCAAAGUUAUGGAUCUAAGGUGUAAGCUAUGAUUGCCAGACUGCCGGA
rnacentral:ncRNA from 1 species